AGAGCGAACGCUGGCGGCAGGCCUAACACAUGCAAGUCGAACGGACUCUUCGGAGUUAGUGGCGGACGGGUGAGUAACACGUGGGAACGUGCCUUUAGGUUCGGAAUAGCUCCUGGAAACGGGUGGUAAUACCGAAUGUGCCCUUCGGGGGAAAGAUUUAUCGCCUUUAGAGCGGCCCGCGUCUGAUUAGCUUGUUGGUGAGGUAAUGGCUCACCAAGGCUACGAUCAGUAGCUGGUCUGAGAGGAUGACCAGCCACAGUUGGGACUGAGACACGGCCCAAACUCCGUACGGGAGCAGCAGUGGGAAUCGUGCGACAAGUGGGACGAAAGCCUAGACGCAGCCAUGCCGCGUGUAUGAUGAAGGUCUUAGGAUUAGUAAAAUACUUUCACGGUAGAAGAUAAG
rnacentral:rRNA from 1 species